UACGUAGGGUGCGAGCGUUAAUCGGAAUUACUGGGCGUAAAGCGUGCGUAGACGGUCAUGUAAGUCGGGCGUGAAAGCCCCGGGCUCAACCUGGGAAUUGCAUUCGAGACUGCAUGGCUAGGAUGCGGAAGAGGGAAGCGGAAUUUCCGGUGUAGCGGUGAAAUGCGUAGAUAUCGGAAGGAACACCAGUGGCGAAAGCGGCUUCCUGGUCCAGCAUCGACGUUCAGGCACGAAAGCGUGGGGAGCAAACAGG
rnacentral:rRNA from 1 species